rnacentral:rRNA from 1 species
CCUACGGGAGGCAGCAGUGGGGAAUUUUGGACAAUGGGCGCAAGCCUGAUCCAGCAAUGCCGCGUGUGUGAAGAAGGCCUUCGGGUUGUAAAGCACUUUUGUCCGGAAAGACAUCCUUUUCGAUAAUACCGGGAGGGGAUGACGGUACCGGAAGAAUAAGCACCGGCUAACUACGUGCCAGCAGCCGCGGCAAUACGUAGGGUGCGAGCGUUAAUCGGAAUUACUGGGCGUAAAGCGUGCGCAGGCGGUGAUGUAAGACCGAUGUGAAAUCCCCGGGCUUAACCUGGGAACUGCAUUGGUGACUGCAUCGCUCGAGUAUGGCAGAGGGGGGUAGAAUUCCACGUGUAGCAGUGAAAUGCGUAGAGAUGUGGAGGAAUACCGAUGGCGAGGGCAGCCCCCUGGGCCAAUACUGACGCUCAUGCACGAAAGCGUGGGGAGCAAACAGGAUUAGAUACCCUGGUAGUCCACGCCCUAAACGAUGUCAACUGGUUGUCGGGUCUUCAUUGACUUGGUAACGUAGCUAACGCGUGAAGUUGACCGCCUGGGGAGUACGGUCGCAAGAUUAAAACUCAAAGGAAUUGACGG